CCCUCCAUGGGCCACGAGCUUUUUCUCCACCUUUUUCUUUUACCAGCCCACCAAAAUUUCCCUUUGCAUUUCUUUUGAGUCCUGCCACCUGUUCGACCCUACACAAUAAGGGACAUAGUCGAGUUAUUCUUCAGGCAAGUUACUGGCUACAGCUUUAGAAGAGGUGGGUGGCUAUUUUAAUGCAUUGUUGGUUCCCUAUUGAGUAUCUAUCAUAACAAAUUAAAUGAGCUAAGGCCUAAUAUAUGG
rnacentral:lncRNA from 1 species